UUUUACGGAAAUGGUUAAGUCGCUUCAACAACCGUGAAAAGCCUGUGUGUUUAGAACUCAUAAGAAAGCUUAAAAUGGUUCCUUAACUCAUGGACAGCAGCAGACACUUUGAAACAACCAGAAGCAAAAAGUGCAUCGGCCGACAAAAGCAUCACAUAUUCAAUUGUGAAACCUCUCGCAAACUUCGUAAUGGACGAGGGCAAGCCGGAAUAUCCGCUCAUCGAGGACAAAUACAACAAAGGGGGCUGACCCAUGCCUAACGGUAUCAGAACUCGGUCAAAGGAAAUGUUAACCGCACAUGACGCCUGCUACUGGCCUGGGUUUUUUUUUGUUUGCGAACAGUACGACGAGGCGCUCCGAAAUUUCAUCCUCCCCCAGCAAGACACUUUUGGAAAAGACACACCACGUCCCUCGCAGAAUGCGGUUGUUAAGUCGUACGACAUCAAAGUUCUGGGGAAGUGAACACCAUCACCUUCCAUGAUCAAGCAAACUGAACAGGAAAACUGAACGGAAAACGGAACUGAAAAGUUGCAUCGAGAGGCCGGCGGAACUCGGGAUUUUAUACCUACCGGGUCAGAACAACCAGAAU